AUGCUGGCGGCGUGCCUAACACAUGCAAGUCGAGCGGCAGCGAAGGGUGCUUGCACCCUGUCGGCGAGCGGCGGACGGCUGAGUAACGCGUGGGAAUCUACCCUAAAGUGAGGGAUAACCGCCCGAAAGGGUGGCUAAUACCGCAUAUGAUCUUCGGAUUAAAGGAUUUAUCCGCUUUAGGAAGAGCCCGCGUUAGAUUAGGUAGUUGGUAGGGUAAUGGCCUACCAAGCCAACGAUCUAUAGCUGGUCUGAGAGGAUGAUCAGCCAGACUGGAACUGAGACACGGUCCAGACUCCUACGGGAGGCAGCAGUGAGGAAUCUUCCACAAUGGGCGAAAGCCUGAUGGAGCAACGCCGCGUGAAGGAUGAAGGCCUUCGGGUUGUAAACUUCUUUUAUGAGUGAAGAAUAUGACGGUAAUUCAUGAAUAAGCACCGGCUAACUACGUGCCAGCAGCCGCGGUCAUACGUAGGGUGCAAGCAUUAUCCGGAGUGACUGGGCGUAAAGAGUUGCGUAGGCGGUUUAAUAAGUGAAUAGUGAAACCUGGUGGCUCAACCAUACAGACUAUUAUUCAAACUGUUAAACUCGAGAGUGGUAGAGGUAACUGGAAUUUCUAGUGUAGGAGUGAAAUCCGUAGAUAUUAGAAGGAACACCAAUGGCGUAGGCAGGUUACUGGACCAUUUCUGACGCUAAGGCACGAAAGCGUGGGGAGCGAACUGGAUUAGAUACCCAGGUAGUCCACGCCGUAAACGAUGGAUACUAGCUGUUGGAGGUAUCGACCCCUUCAGUAGCGAAGCUAACGCGUUAAGUAUCCCGCCUGUGGAGUACGGCCGCAAGGCUAAAACAUAAAGGAAUUGACGGGGACCCGCACAAGCGGUGGAUCAUGUUCUUUAAUUCGAUGAUAAACGAAGAA
rnacentral:rRNA from 1 species